rnacentral:tRNA from 1 species
CAACAGAAAGCAGAUAAUGUUUAUGGUUUCGGCCCAUAGGAAGAGGUAAUAACCUCUCUGUUAU